rnacentral:rRNA from 1 species
GACGAACGCUGGCGGCGUGCCUAAUACAUGCAAGUAGAACGCUGAAGGAGGAGCUUGCUUCUCUGGAUGAGUUGCGAACGGGUGAGUAACGCGUAGGUAACCUGCCUGGUAGCGGGGGAUAACUAUUGGAAACGAUAGCUAAUACCGCAUAAGAGUAGAUGUUGCAUGACAUUUGCUUAAAAGGUGCAAUUGCAUCACUACCAGAUGGACCUGCGUUGUAUUAGCUAGUUGGUGAGGUAACGGCUCACCAAGGCAACGAUACAUAGCCGACCUGAGAGGGUGAUCGGCCACACUGGGACUGAGACACGGCCCAGACUCCUACGGGAGGCAGCAGGAGGGAAUCUUCGGCAAUGGACGGAAGUCUGACCGAGCAACGCCGCGUGAGUGAAGAAGGUUUUCGGAUCGUAAAGCUCUGUUGUAAGAGAAGAACGAGUGUGAGAGUGGAAAGUUCACACUGUGACGGUAUCUUACCAGAAAGGGACGGCUAACUACGUG